UCCCUGGUGGCUCAGACGGUAAAGAAUCUGCCUGCAAUGCAGGAGACCUAGGUUCAAUCCCUGGGUUGGGAA
rnacentral:tRNA from 1 species